UUAACUUUGACUAUUGAGUGGUUCGACGUUAAACGCGUGACGUUAUAAGAUGUUUUUGCACUAGUGCUUGUUUUUAUGCAAGAGUUAAAGUUAGUUGGUUUAGAGUCUCAUGAUUGUCAUAUAUUGAUGCAACAAUUGUUACCAGUUGUUAUUCGAGGCAUAUUACCUCCUUCUGUUUAGGGUAUUCUAACACGUCUGUGUUUGUUCUUUAAUGCCAUUUGCAAGAAAGUUGUUGAACCUCGAUGUUUAGAUCAAUUGGAAAAUGAAGGAAUAAGACAACUAUUGGAAUUGGAGAUGUAUUUUCCACCUUUUUUUGAUAUCAUGGUUCAUUUGAUCGUUCAUAUAGUUUGAGAAAUUCAAAUAUGUAGGCCGAUUUACUGAAGGUGGAUGUACCCUAUUGAAAGAUACAUGAAAAUCUUAAAGGGAUAUGUCAAGAAUCAUUAUAGACCAGAAGCUUCAAUCAUAGAGAGAUACAUUACAGUAGAAGCCGUUGAAUUUUGUUCAGCUUAUAUGCCAAGUUGUGAACCAGUGGGUCUGCCCAAGAGCAUACAUGAAGGAAAAUGUGAAGGUAAGGGUCGUGGUAUGAGGAUUCAAAGUGUUAGUAGAAUAGAAGUUGAUCAAGCUCAUUUGUACAUCUUAAACAACACUGAUGAUGUGAUUCACAUUUCUGAACACGUUAAUGAAAUAAAGGCAUCACACCCAAGAAUGAGUGAAAAAUGGCAUCUUAAUGAACAUGUCAAAACCUUCUUACAAUGGUUUAAGAAAAAGAUUUAUGCGACUCCACAUGUUUCUGAAACUCUAUUGAGGUUAUCUCGUGGGCUGAACACAGAUGUGAUUACAUAUGGUGGGUACUAUAUAAACAAUAUCUCUUUUCAGACAAAGGAAGAAGAUGACAAAAGUAGGGUUCAAAAUAGUGAGGUUACACUACAAGCUGAGUCUGUGCACUUUUCUAUUUCUAAAGACAAAAAUCCAAUCACUGCAUCAAUGAGUUAUUUUGGAGUAAUACAAGAAAUAUGGGAGAUGGGUUAUGUGAGGUUUAGAGUCCUCGUUUUCAAGUGUAAAUGGGUUGAUAUAAAUUAUGGUGUCAUGACAGAUGGCUCUGGUUUCACAUUAGUAGAUCUUAAAAAAAAUGAAUUACACUGAUGAACCAUUUUUUAUGGCCAGCAAGAAAGGCAAAUAUUCUAUGUAAGUGAUCCAGCGAAUGAAAAAUUGUCAAUGGUUUUGGAAGCAAAAAACAUGCACAGGUAUGAUGAUGAAGAAUCUCUUGAUAUACUUGAGACAACAUCUACUGCAUCAAGACCCAUUGAAGACUCAAUUCAUGACGUUGUCGAUGACAUACAUGCAAUUCGUAGUGAUCACAAUGAAAGGAUUUGGGAGAAAACAAUAUCUUAAUAUGUAUGUCGAACUCAAACUCAGCAUCAGGAUAGACCAGACGUACACGAGGCGUGACACGAUUUCCAGAAGUGACAUCCAGACAGGUUCAUGGGCAGAGGAGACAUCUUGAGAUUGACCCCAAAUCAGGUGUGGCAUCAGGGCCAAAUGUUGAUAGAUUUAGUAGUUAUCUGGGUAAGAUAGCCAAAACCCAUGUUUCUAUUCUUCAUGCAACUUGGGAUGACGUCCCAGAGGUCGAGAAGAACCUCUUAUGGCAAGAUGUUCAACUAAAAUAUGAUGUUCCAAACACACUUGACAUGAUAAAGAAAGUGUUACAACAAAUAGCAAAGAGAUGGAUGGAUUUCAAGACAAGGCUGACACGUCUGUAUGUGUUUGGAGACAGACAACAUGAGAACCCAAGUAAGGAUGAUUCCUUCACCGAUGAAGAGUGGAUGCAGUUUCGUGCAUCUAGAGAGAGUGAGGAAUGAAAGGGUAAAAGGUUAGCCGCCCAAGAAAGGAAAAGGCUAAAUGAUGCACCACACGUGUUAUCACGAGGUGGUUGUGCGAAACUUGAGAAGAAAAUUAAAAAGAGUCGAGCAGAUGAGUUAGGGCUUGAGUCCCCGGACCUUGCACCUCCACAUACAAGGUACAAGAUGUGGAAGGCUUCUCAGAUGAAAUCAGAUGGGAACAUGACAUAUGCCUCAGCUGCAUUGAUCUCACAAAGAAUUGAUGAGUUGGUUGAGCAGCAGACACAGGGAACAUAUACUCCCCAAGGUAGGGAGGACAUUCUAACAACGACCAUUGGAAAACCGGAGCACCCAAGACGUGUACGUGGAGUUCCUAGAGCGAUUGGUCUUCGUGACUAUUUUGGUCCUGUUCAAAAAACAACUCAAUCAACGAAUCAGUAUGCACUGAGGCAAAUGGAUCUUCAGUGGGAGGAAAGACUUCGCCAAAUGGAGCAACGAUUCAUGGGGCAGUUACAGGAACAAAAAGAAAUGCAAAACGCGCUUGAAGAGAAGCUACAAUCCAUGACGACGGGCACCCUGGGUGUGCCCACUGAAACUCCCACACCACCUCCUAUCAGCACCAGAGGAUCCUGCUCCGUUGUUGAACCUACUGAGUACAUUGGUCAAUAUAAGUUGUUGGUUGAUGGGGAUCCCCCACGCAUUGUUGCUGUUGGAUGAGUAGUUGAGGGAGGGAAAACUAUUCAUGGUGUUCCCAUAUCACCCCAGCACGUGAUUGUCAUGAUUGACGAGGUUCGGGAUCCCCAGGCUUAGGUGCCUGUACCCACUCCAGAAGUUCAAUUUGUGGGGGAGGCUAGAGGAAGUUUUUUAGCCUGGCCUAGAGCAUUGAUUAUCACACACAUUGCUACACAACAGUUCACACGUCCUCAAAAGUAGUCGAUGCAUGAGGCACCAAUACCUGAAUAUGAUGACAUGGCUGAAGCGGAGGAUGAUCCAAUAGCAAAACUAAUGUCAAGAAUUCCCAGGUUCAACAAAGGAUCAAUACAAAUAUAUUGGGAUUUAAGAGUAUUUGGUCUCCCCCCCAUAUGCCAGUAUAUAUCACAUUCAAUGAUGUAUCCGAGAUCAUUGUGGGAGACAAGAUGUUGAAUAUUUCCAUUAUUCAACUAUGGUGCAUGUACAUCUUUGAUUCUGGAGGAAAUAAAUAACCAAAGUUGUGGUCUCUUAGAUAUCUUUCCAAUCUGAGGACAAAUCAUUUUUAAGAGGGAGGGUAUGAUGAAAACACAUCCAAGAAGCUUGAUAGAGACCCAUCCAGGGAGCUACAACUUGAACUAGGGUUAGGACAUUAGAAGAGAAAGAAGGACUUCAAAGAACUCUACUCUUAUGGAGAUUAAAUUAUCUUCCCUUCUUUUAACCCUUAUAAAUAUGUAAAUAAGUAAU